CCGCGUGGCGAGGUUGGCAACGCAUAGGCCCGGCGUAGGCGCAGGCAGGGGCAGUGCUUUGUUUCGAAGAACCGACUUGCUCGUAGGCUUCUCGGCUUCUCCAGCCACCGGCAGUUCAGAGAAACCACCUCCAGUGGCAAGGCAAGGCAGACAAGCAGGCCGAUUCCGAGAGUCGCUUCCGUCGCUCUGUCUCUCUCGCACUGCAGCGCGCUGCAGCGUGUCGAGUACUGUGCGUUCCAGUGUGCCGGUGCCUGUAGCCUGGCGCGGUCCAAGCUCUCCAAGUCCACGACGUGGUUGGUGUGCCUGGCGACCCCGCGUUGCGGCAGUACUUACCAGUGUACUACAGACUCUCGGUUCCACAGUGGCCACGGCGGCCAGGUCAAGGGCCACCAAGGGCACGCAAGGGCAGCUGCGCGGGUCCCCGGCGUCCCCAGCGGCGGAGCAGAACCGCCAGAACCGCCAGGGCAGUGGAGCCGGCAAUCAGCCAGGCGACAGACGCGGACCAAGACGCGGCACGUGGAGACACAGGCCAGGAGUGACGGAGACGCAGUGGCGAUGGGAUCGGUGCCUUCCGUGACGCCGGCCACGGCGGCCUCCCUGGCUGCGGUGUCCGCGGCCGCGGUGGG